UACGGGAGGCAGCAGUGGGGAAUAUUGCACAAUGGGCGCAAGCCUGAUGCAGCCAUGCCGCGUGUAUGAAAAAGGCCUUCGGGUUGUAAAGUACUUUCAGUCGUGAGGAAGGUGUUAAGGUUAAUAACCUUAGCAAUUGACGUUAGCGACAGAAGAAGCACCGGCUAACUCCGUGCCAGCAGCCGCGGUAAUACGGAGGGUGCGAGCGUUAAUCGGAAUUACUGGGCGUAAAGGGCACGCAGGCGGUUAAUUAAGUUGGAUGUGAAAUCCCCGGGCUUAACCUGGGAAUGGCAUUCAAGACUGGUUAGCUAGAGUCUUGUAGAGGGGGUAGAAUUCCAUGUGUAGCGGUGAAAUGCGUAGAGAUGUGGAGGAAUACCGGUGGCGAAGGCGGCCCCUGGACAAAGACUGACGCUCAUGUGCGAAAGCGUGGGGAGCAAACAGGGAUAGAUACC
rnacentral:rRNA from 1 species